GUGUCUUCGGCAGCACGCAUAUUAAAACCGGAACGAUUCGGAGAAGAUUAGCAUGACCCCUUUGCGAGGAUGACACGCAAAUUGGUGAAGCGUUCUUUAUUUUG